CCUGGUAGCGGGGGAGUAACUAUUGGAAACGAUAGCUAAUACCGCAUAAUAUUGAUUAUUUGCAUGAUAAUUGAUUGAAAGAUGCUAUUGCAUCACUACCAGAUGGACCUGCGUUGUAUUAGCUAGUGGGUGAGGUAACGGCUCACCUAGGCGACGAUACAUAGCCGACCUGAGAGGGUGAUCGGCCACACUGGGACUGAGACACGGCCCAG
rnacentral:rRNA from 1 species